UACGAAGGGGCUAGCGUUGCUCGGAAUCACUGGGCGUAAAGGGUGCGUAGGCGGGUCUUUAAGUCAGGGUGAAAUCCUGGAGCUCAACUCCAGAACUGCCUUUGAUACUGAAGAUCUUGAGUUCGGGAGAGGUGAGUGGAACUGCGAGUGUAGAGGUGAAAUUCGUAGAUAUUCGCAAGAACACCAGUGGCGAAGGCGGCUCACUGGCCCGAUACUGACGCUGAGGCACGAAAGCGUGGGGA
rnacentral:rRNA from 1 species